CUACGGGGGGCUCCAGUGAGGAAUAUUGGUCAAUGGACGCAAGUCUGAACCAGCCAUGCCGCGUGCAGGAUGACGGCCCUAUGGGUUGUAAACUGCUUUUAUUAAGGAAUAAACCCCCUUACGUGUAAGGGGCUGAACGUACUUAAAGAAUAAGCAUCGGCUAACUCCGUGCCAGCAGCCGCGGUAAUACGGAGGAUGCAAGCGUUAUCCGGAUUCAUUGGGUUUAAAGGGUUCGCAGGCGGCGUAUUAAGUCAGUGGUGAAAUCCCUCGGCUCAACCGAGGAACUGCCAUUGAUACUGGUAUGCUAGAGUAUAGUUGGGGUAGGCGGAAUAUUUCAUGUAGCGGUGAAAUGCUUAGAUAUGAAAUAGAACACCGAUCGCGAAGGCAGCUUACGAAACUAUAACUGACGCUCAGGAACGAAAGCGUGGGGAGCGAACAGGAUUAGAUACCCUGGUAGUC
rnacentral:rRNA from 1 species